AAUCGAACCCGGAGAUAGCUGGUUCUCCUCGAAAUAGCUUUAGGGCUAGCCUCGCAUUAGUUUACCGGAGGUAGAGCACUGAAUGGUCUAGGGGGCCUCACCGCCUACCGAAACCUAUCAAACUGCGAAUGCCGGAUAAAUGAUGUGCGGGAGUCAGGCCGCGAGAGAUAAGUUCCGCGGUCAAAAGGGGAACACCCCAGAUCGUCUGCUAAGGUCCCCAAGUACGCGUUAAGUGGGAAAGGAUGUUGGAUUGCACAGACAACCAGGAUGUUGGCUUAGAAGCAGCCACACAUUCAAAGAGUGCGUAAUAGCUCACUGGUCGAGUGAUCCAGCGCCGAAAAUGUAACGGGGCUAAAACGCGACACCGAAGCAGCGGGAUGCGUAAGCAUCGGUAGAGGAGCAUUGUGUGAGGAUAGAAGCCAGAGCGGGAGCACUGGUGGACUUCACAGAAGAGAGAAUGCCGGUAUGAGUAGCGAGACCCAUGCGAGAAACAUGGGCGUCGAAGGCCCAAGGUUUCCUGGGGAAGGUUCAUCCACCCAGGGUAAGUCGGGACCUAAGCCGAGGACUGAGGUCGUAGGCGAUGGACAGCAGGUAGAGAUUCCUGCACCACUUACACUUGUUUGACGAAGCAGUGACACAGAAGGAUAGGACGAGCGCGGUGAUGGUCAACCGCGUAGGCGGCACGAGGCUGGGGAGCAGUAAAGUACACUUCCCGGGAAGGCUGAGUGCUGACAGGACCGAAAAAGAGUAGGGAAGCGUCUGAGUUCACGCUGGCGAGAAAAGCUGCUAAGGAGAGUGUGAGUGCCCGUACCGGAAACCGACGCAGGUGGGCGAGGAGAGAAUCCUGAGACGGACGGGAGAACUCUUGUUAAGGAACUCGGCAAAAUGACCCCGUAACUUCGGGAGAAGGGGUGCCUCGAAAGAGGCCGCAGAGAAUAGUCACAAGCGACUGUUUAGCAAAAACACAGGUAUCUGCGAAAGCGAGAGCUGACGUAUAGGUGCUGACGCCUGCCCGGUGCUGGAAGGUUAAGGGGAAGUGUUAGGGGAAACCCGAAGCAGAGAACCGAAGCCCCAGUAAACGGCGGCCGUAACUAUAACGGUCCUAAGGUAGCGAAAUUCCUUGUCGGGUAAGUUCCGACCCGCACGAAUGGCGUAACGACUUGUGAGCUGUCUCAACAGGAGGCCCGGUGAAAUUGAAGUAUGUGUGAAGAUGCACAUUACCCGCGACUGGACGGAAAGACCCCGUAGAGCUUUACUGUAACCUGACAUUGGAUCUUGAUAACGGAUGCACAGGAUAGGUGGGACGCUGGGAGGUAUGGACUUUGGUCUGUACGGAGCGGACGUUGGGAUACCACUCUUCUGUUAUUGAGAUUCUAACCUCAAGCCGUAAGCCGGAUGAGAGACAGUGUCAGGCGGACAGUUUGACUGGGGCGGUCGCCUCCGAAAGAGUAACGGAGGCGCCCAAAGGUACCCUCAGAAUGGAUGGAAACCAUUCGAAGAGAGCAAAGUCAGAAGGGUGCUUGACUGCGAGACCAACAAGUCGAGCAGGUACGAAAGUAGGGCUUAGUGAUCCGGCGGUAAGAGAGUGGAAUUGCCGUCGCUCAACGGAUAAAAGCUACCUCGGGGAUAACAGGCUGAUCUCCCCCAAGAGU
rnacentral:rRNA from 1 species